GUGGUGUGGUCUGAAUGGAAGCUGGAGGCAUGUAGGUAAGUAUAGCUGUCAGUAAGUUUCCGGUAUAGGGUGGUGGUUAUGUGACCAUCACUGUACAGUGCAAAUAAGCAAUCCGUCUCACCUCUUACAUGUUUUAACUUCCCUCCUCCCGUGACUGAAAAAAUUGGAGUCUCCUCACCACACAAAGAUGAAAAAUGAAAUGAAAGACCUGAGUGAGUCACCCUGUUUUAGUUUCCAUUUAAAAAGGAGGGAAAGAACAUUUUGUAAUGUUAUGUUACGCUAAAAUUUAAGAUGGACCUUGUUUCUUCCAUGUAUUAAAGGCAGUUGGUGAUGAUCACCAGCAUUGCAUACUUAUAAGCUUUCAGAAGUUUUAUUGAGUACCUGCUUGUUUGCUCUUGAUGGUAAAACAAAAAAAUUCAGAUUUUUUUGCUGUGUAAACUCUCUGGGGCAGGGUCUGUGUGUUUGUAUUGCCCAAAGCACCAUUGCGCCUCUUAAUCCUGAUUGAGCCUCAAGCUGCUACCAUAACAUAAAUAUUAAAGAAUAACACUGAGAAGAUCAUAAUCACUUUACUUGGUGUUUAGCAUCUAUGUGUGCUCAGUGGAGAGGUCUGUUGCUAGUGAAUCCCAGGUACUUGACUUUCCCUAGAAAGCUUAUUUUUCUGUCAGAUGGUAAUAUAGAUAGUUAAUUUAGGAAAAAUAAAACCUUAUAAUGGGAACAGUCAGGUUCUAAAUAAACAAUUUAAAAAAACCGACAGAAUUUAUCCCCUCCAUUAACACUUCAGAUUAAAACACAUACUGCGUGGGUCUCUAAAUGUGCACAAGUUGCCUGACUGUUUGAACAAGUGCACCAUUUUUUACAGAAUCUUCAUUAUAGGACAUGCAUUCUUUUGGAAAUCCUAGUUGACAAUAAGAUGGUGCUUACACUGUCAAAGACUUCAAAAUACAAUAAGGUUCACUCUUUUCAAUUUAAAAAAAAACAAAACAAAAAACCCUUUAGAAAAUUUAUCCUGGAAUCUGCUCCUUACCUAAUUGUAUGUUUCAGUUGUGUGUUCUCACUGGGCUGCUGGCAUUUUUUCUUAGUAUUCUAUUUCUUUUUUUCAAGAAAAGAACACUUUGUAAAAUUUCUUGCAUUCUUCGAGAUGAAAGAUGGUGUCCAAAAUACAAAAUCCUAUUUUAGCAUAAACAUUUUUACAUGUACCUACAAAUUCUAAAGAACUUCUUCAGAUGUUUUUAACCAUAGAUUUCAAAAUGUUUUGCAAAAGUGAGCAAGCCUCAUUAGCCUUAUUUUCUCAUAUAGAGAAACUGAGGCACAGAGAUGAAGUGAUGUCACCCAGUAAAUCAGUGAUGCAGCUAGGAAUGUUGUGUCUCUUGAUUUAUUCUCAUCAUCCACUGGAAAACUUUACCUCCUAAUAAUUUCUUACCAAUUUUUGCUAUACAAUCUUUUAGUAAACUUCCAACUCAGUAUUUUUAACUACUUCAUGUGUUGGAAUGUCUAGUUAAGGCUGUAACGAAGAAUAGAUUGCACUGAAGCCUGCUUACAAAUGGUCAAAUGUUUUAGCUAUUCUAGAUGCUGGUCCCACUGUUUGAUGUAUAGGUGUAUAAUCUGAUAAUGAAAAAACCCUCUAUUACAUUGUUACUCAAAAUACACUGCUCCCAACUGAAUUCCAGUGCACUAACUCAUUUAAACCCGGGAUUCUUUUAAAGUCUCAGAUGCUUGUAUUUUUCCCUGAGGAUAGUUUGAUAUUUCUGCCUGACGUUUCUCUGAAGAAAAAUAGAAAGUGCAGCAACAUUAAUUUUGAAAGAGGAUCAUGGAUAGAAAUUGUUUGGUAAAUAACUGCCCAUCUCAAGACAAACUGAAGGAAGGGAUAAAAUCCUUGCCAUACCGAAGUCAGUGGCAGAACUUCCAUUGAUGCAAGUGGUCAGAAUUUCACUCAAGAUUUGCUGUAAUAGCUCAAGUUAUUGGCCCAUCUCAUUGGGUAUCUUGACUUUUCUGCAAUAGUUUGACUGGUGGAGCAACUGGAGAUUGUCUUUAUCUCGUCACUCUUGCAAUUUUGUACAUUCUGCACAAAAAAAAUUAAAAAUUCUGCACACAAUA